rnacentral:lncRNA from 1 species
AUGGAUGGAUUGGGAAGUGAGAACUACUAUCCCUCCUUAUCAAAAUGAAGGUCCAUCAUCUAGUGUUCAUAAAUGGACGGAUUGGGAAGUAAGAACUACUAUCCCUCUUUAUCAAAAUGAAGGUCCAUCAUCUAGUGUUCGUGAAUGGACUAAUCGGGAAGUGACUACAACUGAUAAUGAGGACGUAAUUGGAAGUGAUGAGGAGUAUGUUAUUAAAACUGAUGAAGAGGAUCAAGGGCGAAUUGAUGCUGAUUCUAAUGAUGACGAGGAAUCCUUUGUUCCGUGUUCUUUGGAUCCUGAUAAUGACGGUGGCUUGAAUGCACUUGUAGUGUUCCAGAGGUUUAGAUAGGAUUGGCUUCAGUGUUAGUGACUGGUCGACACAUCUGGAGAGUGUCGGACUGAGUCGGAGUCGUUUCUGCGCAAAAUGGAUGCAUAA